GACGAACUGUGCAAACGUUAUUCGGAAUCACUGGGCUUGAAGAGUGCGUAGGCGGUUUCGUAAGUAGGGUGUGAAAGCCCUCGGCUCAACCGGGGAAUUGCGUCCUAAACUGCGAGGCUAGAGUGAGGUAGGGGUGUGUGGAACUUCCAGUGGAGCGGUGAAAUGUGUUGAUAUUGGAAGGAACGCCGGUGGCGAAAGCGACACACUGGACCUUGUCUGACGCUGAGGCACGAAAGCCAGGGGAGCAAACGGG
rnacentral:rRNA from 2 species